GACGAACGCUGGCGGCGUGCCUAAUACAUGCAAGUUGAGCGCUGAAGGUUGGUACUUGUACCAACUGGAUGAGCAGCGAACGGGUGAGUAACGCGUGGGGAAUCUGCCUUUGAGCGGGGGACAACAUUUGGAAACGAAUGCUAAUACCGCAUAAAAACUUUAAACACAAGUUUUAAGGUUGAAAGAUGCAAUUGCAUCACUCAAAGAUGAUCCCGCGUUGUAUUAGCUAGUUGGUGAGGUAAAGGCUCACCAAGGCGAUGAUACAUAGCCGACCUGAGAGGGUGAUCGGCCACAUUGGGACUGAGACACGGCACAAACUCCUACGGGAGGCAGCAGUAGGGAAUCUUCGGCAAUGGACGAAAGUCUGACCGAGCAACGCCGCGUGAGUGAAGAAGGUUGUCGGAUCGUAAAACUCUGUUGGUAGAGAAGAACGUUGGUGAGAGUGGAAAGCUCAUCAAGUGACGGUAACUACCCAGAAAGGGACGGCUAACUACGUG
rnacentral:rRNA from 1 species